CCCUCGCGGGUGCACCGCCGACC
rnacentral:snRNA from 1 species